CUUUUCUUUUUGCUCUCUUUCUUUGGUUUCUGUCGGAUCUGAGGUGCUGGUCCUUUAGGUUUCUUGGUCAGCUCGGCGGCCUUUCCAUCAGUAGACUCGGUUUCUUCCUGUAGAGCAAAACCACAAUCAGCGAAAACAGGCACUGAAGAAUGACAGCUGGAUACUGUGAAGCACGAAAAGGCGACAUACUGUGGAGUGCAAUCAGUGCACGUGAUGACUAUGCCUCAAAAUAGAAUAAUUAGAUGGUGGGUUUAAUUGCUCUUGUCUAUAAAUAAUCUCUCCUGCCAGUUGUUAGUGUGGAGGUUGUGCAAUUAACCCUCAGCAGCCAGACGUACAGUGGUUCAGUCUGCACAAACAUGUAAGAAAAGAUUAUUUGAUUAAUUGUCUGUUUCUCCAUAUUUUGAAAACUAUAUAGUAAAUGUUUUAACAUAUGUUUAGAUAUAUAGAUGCAUAAAAGAACCUGUCGAGCUAUAGCACAAAUGUUUUGUUAUUAUCAGAUAUGCACAAGAGUAUUGUCCUAAAACCAAUCGAGAUGCAACAAACAAUUCACUGCCGUGAAAUAUAUUUUUUGAUGAAUGGAUGAAUGUCAUUAUGUUAAGUCAGACACUUGUGUCAUACGAUUCAUCUUUAAAUUGGUUACAAAUAGUAUGAGAAAUAAGUGUUUAUUUCAUCUUUUGAUAAUAAUGUAAUGUGCAAAUAUGUUAAAAUGAAGAUUUUUUUGUAGUUUUAUAGAACUGUUAUAAUAAAAAAAAAAAAAACUUAA